GACUAUUUAUAGUUAAUUAUUCAAUUUAUCCGUAAAAGGUUUAUGCUAUUAAAUAUAGUGUAAUAAAAUUAAUUUGCUACUUAUAUAUUAAGAGAAAUUAUUCUCGUAGACAAGUAUAAGAUCGAUUUUAUCGAAUAAAGUUCUAGAAAAGCAAAAUUUGAUGAUGACAAACUGUUUUUCUAUAUGUCUUGACCAAAUUACGUGCCAGCAGUCGCGGUAAUACGUAAAAGACUAGUGUUAUUCAUCUUUAGUAGGUUUAAAGGGUACCUAGACGGUAUAAUUAGUCUUAAAUAAGAAACGGUUAUGCUAGAGUUAUAUAUGAGAAGGGGAGUAUUUAUGGAGUAGAGUUGAAAUUCUUUGAUCCCAUAACGACUGGUAACGGCGAAAGCAACCUUUUAUCUAAUAACUGACGUUGAGGGACGAAGGCUCGGGUCACAAACAGGAUUAGAUACCCUAGUAGUCCAAGCAGAGAAUGAUGAAUGCCAUAGAUUAGAUGCUAAUUUAGUCUAUAAAUGAAAGUGUAAGCAUUUCACCUCAAGAGUAAUGUGGCAACGCAGGAACUGAAAUCAUUAGACCGUUUCUGAAACCAGUAGUGAAGUAUGUUAUUUAAUUCGUAAGUACGCGAAAAACCUUACCACAACUUGAAUAUUAUCUUUAAGAUAUUACAAGCGUUGCACGGCUGUCUUCAGUUAAUGUCGUGAGAUAUUGGUUAAUUCCAUUAAAUUAACGGAAACCCUUGCUUUAUUUGGGUAUAAAGCAGUUCACCUUUACAUGGGAU
rnacentral:rRNA from 1 species